AGUGAACGCUGGCGGUAGGCCUAACACAUGCAAGUCGAACGGCAGCACAGUAAGAGCUUGCUCUUACGGGUGGCGAGUGGCGGACGGGUGAGGAAUACAUCGGAAUCUACUUUUUCGUGGGGGAUAACGUAGGGAAACUUACGCUAAUACCGCAUACGACCUACGGGUGAAAGCAGGGGACCUUCGGGCCUUGCGCGAUUGAAUGAGCCGAUGUCGGAUUAGCUAGUUGGCGGGGUAAAGGCCCACCAAGGCGACGAUCCGUAGCUGGUCUGAGAGGAUGAUCAGCCACACUGGAACUGAGACACGGUCCAGACUCCUACGGGAGGCAGCAGUGGGGAAUAUUGGACAAUGGGCGCAAGCCUGAUCCAGCCAUACCGCGUGGGUGAAGAAGGCCUUCGGGUUGUAAAGCCCUUUUGUUGGGAAAGAAAUCCAGCCGGCUAAUACCUGGCUGGGAUGACGGUACCCAAUGAAUAAGCACCGGCUAACUUCGUGCCAGCAGCCGCCGCAGUAA
rnacentral:rRNA from 1 species